rnacentral:ncRNA from 1 species
UGUCUAAUUAAGACAAAGCAUUGUGUUGUCCGCUGACUGGUUAUGACGUAGUGUGGUUUCUGCCCAGGGCUCUGAAUGUCAAAGUAAAGAAAUUCAAAUAAGCACGGGCGAACGGCGGGAGUAACCAUGACUAACCACUACAACAUGGAUUUAU